UACGGGAGGGGCAAGCGUUAUCCGUAAUUACUGGGCGUAUAGAGUCCGUAGAUUGUAAUCUAAGUUAUAUGUUAAAAUUUAAAGCUUAACUUUAAAAAAAGAUAAAAUACUGUUUUACUUGAGUUUAAUACAGAAAAGCAGAAUUUCGUGUUAAGGAGUAAAUUCCAAAAAUACAUGAAGGAAUAUCAUCAGCGAAAGCGGCUUUUUAGUGUAAACUGACAUUGAGGGACGAAAGUGUAGGGAGCGAACAAGAUUAGAGACCUUGGUAGUCUACGCUGUAAAUUCUGAGUGCUGUAAUUUAAAAGAAAUUUUGGAUUUUUUAAGCUAACGCUAUAAGCAUUCCGCCUGAGGAGUACGAUCGCAAGAUUGGAACUCAAAGGAAUUGACGGGAGCCUACAACGAGUGGUGGAGCAUGUGGUUUAAUGCGAUAAUCCGCGCAAAACCUUACCAACCCUUGACAUAUUGAAAAAGAAAUUGAAUUAACACAAUUUUUUUAUUAUUAAUUAAAAAAUUAAUUAGUUUUCUUUACAGGUGUUGCACGACUGUCGUCAGCUCGUGUCGUGAGAUGUUUGGUUCAUUCCUUUUAACGAGCGCAACUCUUAUUUUUAAGAAUUUACUUCUAAUUUUUAAAGACUGCUUUCUUAGACAAAUAUUUUAACCAUAAGUUACUUCAAGAUAUAAAACUUUUUUAUGUUUUUUAUACUUAACGCAGUAGAGCAUUUUGCAUAUUUGUGUGGCUAUUCUUAUAGAUUAAACUUUUAUGUUAUUUAUAAUUAAACAGAUAGCCGUUUUUGAGUACUUUAUGGUGCUAUUCCAAACUGUCAGGACACUUUAAAAAUUUUGCUUUAAAAAGACCGUAAAGCUAAAAAUAACAUUAUAAAGGAAGGUGAGAAUUAAGUCAAGUCACUGUGGCCCUUAUGGGUUGGGCUACACACGUGCUACAAUGAAAAUGACAAAAAGUAACGAAAAUAAAAAUUUUUAGUUGAUCUUUAAAAAUUUUCUUAGUUCGGAUUGUAAACUGCAACUCGUUUACAUGAAGUUGGAAUCACAAGUAAUCGCAAAUCAGAACGUUGCGGUGAAUACGUACCUUGGCUG
rnacentral:rRNA from 1 species